CCUACGGGUGGCAGCAGUAAGGAAUAUUGGUCAAUGGACGCAAGUCUGAACCAGCCAUGCCGCGUGCAGGAAGACGGCCCUACGGGUUGUAAACUGCUUUUAUACGGGAAUAAACUUCGGUACGUGUACCGAGCUGAAUGUACCGUAAGAAUAAGGAUCGGCUAACUCCGUGCCAGCAGCCGCGGUAAUACGGAGGAUCCAAGCGUUAUCCGGAUUUAUUGGGUUUAAAGGGUGCGUAGGCGGCUUAUUAAGUCAGGGGUGAAAGACGGUGGCUCAACCAUCGCAGUGCCUUUGAUACUGAUAAGCUUGAAUACACUAGAGGUAGGCGGAAUGAGACAAGUAGCGGUGAAAUGCAUAGAUAUGUCUCAGAACACCAAUUGCGAAGGCAGCUUACUAUGGUGUUAUUGACGCUGAGGCACGAAAGCGUGGGGAUCAAACAGGAUUAGAUACCCUUGUAGUC
rnacentral:rRNA from 1 species